rfam:Cavia porcellus supercont2_176 genomic scaffold, whole genome shotgun sequence.
AUCCUUCGGCUCAUGAGCGUAAUGACUGUGUGUUUAUGCUACAUGCGUGAGCUGUGCCUCCCUCAGACCUUGCUACCAUGCCGGCAGGUUUCCUGUCUGACG